UUGUUGGUAAGGUAAAAGCUUACCAAGGCUUCGAUCAGUAGCUGGUCUGAGAGGACGACCAGCCACACUGGGACUGAGACACGGCCCAGACUCCUACGGGAGGCAGCAGUGGGGAAUUUUGGACAAUGGGGGCAACCCUGAUCCAGCCAGGCCGCGUGAGUGAAGAAGGCCUUCGGGUUGUAAAGCUCUUUCAGCCGGAACGAAACGGUUACGGAUAACACCCGUGACUACUGACGGUACCGGAAGAAGAAGCACCGGCUAACUACGUGCCAGCAGCCGCGGUAAUACGUAGGGUGCGAGCGUUAAUCGGAAUUACUGGGCGUAAAGCGUGCGCAGGUGGUUUUGUAAGUCAGAUGUGAAAGCCCCGGGCUCAACCUGGGAACUGCGUUUGAAACUACAAGACUAGAGUGUGGCAGAGGGGGGUGGAAUUCCGCGUGUAGCAGUGAAAUGCGUAGAGAUGUGGAGGAACACCGAUGGCGAAGGCAGCCCCCUGGGUCAACACUGACGCUCAGGCACGAAAGCAUGGGGAGCAAACAGGAUUAGAUACCCUGGUAGUCCAUGCCCUAAACGAUGUCAACUAGUUGUCGGGCCUUUACGGGCUUGGUAACGUAGCUAACGCGUGAAGUUGACCGCCUGGGGAGUACGAUCGCAAGAUUAAAACUCAAAUGAAUUGACGGGGACCCGCACAAGCGGUGGAUUAUGUGGAUUAAUUCGAUGCAACGCGAAAAACCUUACCUACCCUUGACAUGUAUCGAAGCCCGCAGAAAAGCGGGGGUGCCCGAAAGGGAACGAUAACACAGGUGCUGCAUGGCUGUCGUCAGCUCGUGUCGUGAGAUGUUGGGUUAAGUCCCGCAACGAGCGCAACCCUUGUCAUUAAUUGCCAUCAUUUAGUUGGGCACUUUAAUGAGACUGCCGG
rnacentral:rRNA from 1 species